CAUCAUACUGGACAGCAUUGGA
rnacentral:miRNA from 1 species